rnacentral:rRNA from 1 species
UGCGUAGGUGGUUUCUUAAGUCAGAGGUGAAAGGCUACGGCUCAACCGUAGUAAGCCUUUGAAACUGGGAAACUUGAGUGCAGGAGAGGAGAGUGGAAUUCCUAGUGUAGCGGUGAAAUGCGUAGAUAUUAGGAGGAACACCAGUUGCGAAGGCGGCUCUCUGGACUGUAACUGACGCUGAGGCACGAAAGCGUGGGGAAGCAAACA